UACGUAGGGACCGAGCGUUGUCCGGAAUCAUUGGGCGUAAAGAGCGUGUAGGCGGCCACUUAAGUCCUGCGUGAAAUCUUGCGGCUCAACCGCAAGCGGUCGUGGGAAACUGGGUGGCUAGAGUGCGGGAGAGGAGAGUGGACUUCCUGGUGUAGCGGUGGAAUGCGCAGAUAUCAGGAAGAACACCCGUGGCGAAGGCGGCUCUCUGGAACGCAACUGACGCUGAGACGCGAAAGCGUGGGGAGCAAACAGG
rnacentral:rRNA from 1 species